GCAGGCCCUUGUGGUGCUGGGGACUCACGGGAGACCGCCGGGGUCAACUCGGAGGAAGGUGGGGACGACGUCAAGUCAUCAUGCCCCUUAUGUCUUGGGCUGCACACGUGCUACAAUGGCCGGUACAAUGAGCUGCGAUACCGCGAGGUGGAGCGAAUCUCAAAAAGCCGGUCUCAGUUCGGAUUGGGGUCUGCAACUCGACCCCAUGAAGUCGGAGUCGCUAGUAAUCGCAGAUCAGCAUUGCUGCGGUGAAUACGUUCCCGGGCCUUGUACACACCGCCCGUCACGUCACGAAAGUCGGUAA
rnacentral:rRNA from 1 species